rnacentral:rRNA from 1 species
UGCCGCAUGGCAGAGGGUGGAAAGAUUUAUCGGUGCAGGAUGGGCCCGCGUCGGAUUAACUAGCUGGCAGGGUAACGGCCUACCAAGGUUAUGAUCCGUAGCCGACCUGAGAGGGUGACCGGCCACAUUGGGACUGAGACACGGCCCAAACUCCUACGGGAGGCAGCAGUGGGGGAUAUUGCACAAUGGGCGGAAGCCUGAUGCAGCGACGCCGCGUGAAGGAAGAAGUAUUUCGGUAUGUAAACUUCUAUCAGCGGGGAAGAAGAUGACGGUACCCGACUAAGAAGCCCCGGCUAACUACGUGCCAGCAGCCGCGGUAAUACGUAGGGGGCAAGCGUUAUCCGGAUUUACUGGGUGUAAAGGGAGCGUAGACGGCAGGGCAAGUCCGAUGUGAAAACCCGGGGCUCAACCGCGGGAUUGCAUUGGAAACUGCUCGGCUCGAGUACUGGAGGGGUAAGCGGAAUUCCUAGUGUAGCGGUGAAAUGCGUAGAUAUUAGGAGGAACACCGGCGGCGAAGGCGGCUUACUGGACAGUAACUGACGUUGAGGCUCGAAAGCGUGGGGAGCAAACAGGAUUAGAU